UGGGGAAUAUUGCACAAUGGGCGCAAGCCUGAUGCAGCCAUGCCGCGUGUAUGAAGAAGGUCUUCGGGUUGUAAAGUACUUUCAGCGAGGAGGAAGGCGUUGUGGUUAAUAACCGCAACGAUUGACGUUACUCGCAGAAGAAGCACCGGCUAACUCCGUGCCAGCAGCCGCGGUAAUACGGAGGGUGCAAGCGUUAAUCGGAAUUACUGGGCGUAAAGCGCACGCAGGCGGUCUGUCAAGUCGGAUGUGAAAUCCCCGGGCUCAACCUGGGAACUGCAUCCGAAACUGGCAGGCUAGAGUCUUGUAGAGGGGGGUAGAAUUCCAGGUGUAGCGGUGAAAUGCGUAGAGAUCUGGAGGAAUACCGGUGGCGAAGGCGGCCCCCUGGACAAAGACUGACGCUCAGGUGCGAAAGCGUGGGGAGCAAACA
rnacentral:rRNA from 1 species